rnacentral:lncRNA from 1 species
GCUGAAUUUUAAGCAAUUAGACUUGCCAGUUAAUUAAUGGGUUAUAGCUAACUGUGUUAUUGGCAGGAGGUCAGGGAGAGGCAAUGAGUCACUGCAGAUUCUUGCGAGGCAACAUCACGGAUUUGCAGAUCUGAGGGGAGGGAGCUCCUGCACUGAUUUACACCGACCCACCACAAGCAGAAGGGCUGAACGCACAGAGUGAACACACCAGGAGUCAGAAGGGAAGUGGUUGAGUGACAAUAAGGAGGGAGAAGAAAAGGUUGGAUUGAGUGAGGAAUAAUAAGAAAUGAAAGUUGGGAAGAAGCCUCCAAGGGUACGAGCAUUUUCUGGUGGUAUCAGUUGGGUGAAGGGGAACUUUCUCCAUGAGCAAAUUCCUUCCAAAUGCCCGUUGGUGGUCUCUGGGCAGGAGCUGUGGUGCUGAGCAACGUGGAGCAUGAACGUCUCCGCAGAGCAGCGGGUUGGGAUUGCAAAGAAUCUUCCCCCAAAAUGGCCAAAAAUAAUUAAAAAGAAAUACACAAAUCCUGAAGGAAACUCAGCCAGAAAACAAGAUCUUAAGGAAGUAUGCUCAGCUCCAAAUUUCCAUGAAGCAUCCAACUGGCUGAUCCAGCCCCGACUGUGUUCCCACAGAGAUUUUACUCAUCCUCCCUUCUGAGAGUCUGGAGCAGAACCGAGAAUGGAAGCAUCGAAACAGUGGGCAAAGCACUUUCUCCUGGCGCUUCCCCAUUGCUGGGAGGAACAAAGCUCUGGAACCACGCUGCAAUUCCAUCCAGUGGGACAUGACAUGGGCAGAGCUGAGCACAACGGACGGGUUUGGAUCUUCCUCCCAGUGCAAUUCCUCGAGGGUUUGUUUGUUCCACUGGGCUUUGCUGUGAGGAAUUGGUUUGUGUGUUUGGUGGCUGCUGGAGCAUUGCACUGCUCCGUGUUUCUAUGACAGCUGUGCACUGGGACAUCUCCUCAACACAAACGCAACAGGAGCGAGCCUGUUGUCGGCGUGGCUUUUUUUUUUUUCCUCCUGAGACAACAAAUGUUUCCAAAUCUGAAAAAAUAAAAAAUGAAAUAACGAAAUGCUGCACUCAGCUGUCAUUUCAGACCCACGCUGCCAGGGCCGGGCUGCUCCCAGCUGUCCAGAGGAGAUCUGCAAAUCCCCAUGCUGGGCUCAGUGCACACGAGCAGCUCAGCCUUGCCAACAUCCCUCAUCCCAUGCCAGCAGCACGCAGGAGGCUCUGAUUGAAGAUGUCAACAGCCACUGCUGAUCACUGGAUCUGGAGGUCCCCUCCCAUUCAUUCUGUGUUUCUGCUGAAUUGCCCAAGGGUGCUGGUGAAAUUAUGUUGUGAAAUUUGACAGAGCCUGAGCCCCAAACACCCACUCCUGUCCCCCCCAACACAUGGGGUAAGAGAUUGAACUUGGGCUGAAAAACAUACAGAAACACUAAAAACUGGUUAGUUUACUGCAUAGAGAUAGAAGAAAAGCCUGCAUGUCCUAAAUUAUGCCUGAAUUUAGUGAUAACAUCUGGUUUGUCACCAAAGCAUCACAUUGCUGGCAACACAUCUGGGUGCAGAAUUACCUCCUGCACGUUUCUCCUUGCCCAUUCAGCAGCUUGCUCUGAUUGUGGUUCAUGUGAAUUUGGUUCACUCCACACUGGGAUGGAUGAAGAGCACCCAUGGCAGCCUCUCAAGGGAGUGUGAGCAGAGACUUUGAGAAGCUAUUGUUGCUAUUCUGUGAAACAGUGCUCACCUCGUACCUCACGAGCAUGUUCUGUGGUCCUGCACUUAGCAUGGAGGAUCAAAGAGGGGACAAGUGCUCAAGGUCAGCAAAGGGGAGAGCAGCCAAAGAAAAUAUCCUCUGCAAAAAGAAGCACAGACUUGCUGGGGUCUGCCUUCAAGCAAAAGUAAUCCAUCCCAGGCACAAAGCAAUUCUUGCUUGCUAGCAGCUCUGUGCAGAUAAAGCAGCACAGAAAAUAAAAGUGGAGAUCAGCUGGCUCGUGGCACAACAGUGGUACCUAUGUGCUCACGUGCAUGCACACACUUGUGCUUAGAAGAAGGAUGGGAGCUUCUUUAGAAGCAUAAUACAAAGGAGAAAACAAAGGAAAUGUGGCCAGGAGAGGAGAACAGGGCUGGGUUAGGGUGUUUAUCCCCACCUUGGGCACAGCAGCAGCACCAGGCUGCAAGACUACAGAGUGCAUCCCUGUCUGGUGAGCUGGGAGUUGGCUUUCUUCCUCUUUGUGCCAGAAUGACACCGGAGUGAUCCCCAACCAGGCUGCAUGAGUGGGAAGAGAGUUGGGCGUUUUGUUGGCUGCCUUUUCAAAGAGAGCUCAGCAGCUCCCCGGGUUCUCACUAUUGGCAAAAAAAUAAAGGGGAUAAAUCUAGAAAAUAAACGAUAUAUCUGCCGCUCUAAAUCUAUUUGCUGAUAGCCAGAUGUUGGCUGCAGUGUGAGCAUUUCAUCUGGGAGGCACAGAAGGGGCAGCUCCGGAUGAGGUACAGGGAGGUUCGCUUUCAUCCCAUGCCUCCAUCAAGUCUUUGAGAAAAAGCAGUAUCACUCAUUUGAUGCCAAAAUGAUUCCAAGUAAAUUGGGCUGAGGGAAGGACAUGGAAGGAGGGGUGGUGGUGUAGGAAACAUCAGCCCCUUUCCAGUGAUGGGGACAUUUUCUACAACACACCAAACAAAGCUCAAGGCAGAGAGGGAGCCUUUCUUACACCAAAAACCAUCUGCCCCUCAAUGCGCUCAGAUGAGGAAUUCUGAUCAUUGCUACCAAUUUCUCCUUUUCAUGCUUCAUUCUUACAGUUUCCUUCUCCAGCAGCUGGUGCUGGUGAUACCAACACAACCUCCAGCGUUGGCAUUUUGUCAUUGCUCAAUGUGCUUUCAUAUGCCAACCACUCUUUUAGGGGUAAAAACAGAAUUUCACACUCUGGCCAUCACAUAGGCACACUGUGGUAUUGGUGUGAGGUUUCACAUUUUUCCGAUGUUACUCAGCUCUGAGAGAAAAAAAAAAAAAGGCAGACGAUGGAUUUACAUCUCUGAGUUUCAGUGGAUGUGAAGGGUCUAAAAAUCUCCCUCAUGUUUCUUUUCAUUGAUUGCUCCCAAGAUGAAACAAUUGGGAGUCGGAGUGAAUUUAUAACUAGCUUGUGAAAUAAGCCUCACAUCUAGCAAAGAUAUUACGCUGAGCAGGAAACAAGCCCAUAGAAAUUCAUUAUGUUCCCGGAAUUAAAUGAAAACAAUAUAGUUUAUGGACCAUAGAAGGUAGUUACAG